rnacentral:rRNA from 1 species
CGGAGGAAAAGAAACCAACAGGGAUUGCCUCAGUAACGGCGAGUGAAGCGGCAAAAGCUCAAAUUUGAAAUCCUUCGGGAGUUGUAAUUUGUAGGUUGGGAGACCCCGCGGCUAGUGGCACCAAGUCCCUUGGAACAGGGCGCCUUAGAGGGUGAGAGCCCCGUAGGUACCACAACACCGUCUUGUGUCUCCUCUCCAAAGAGUCGAGUUGUUUGGGAAUGCAGCUCAAAGUGGGUGGUAAAUUCCAUCUAAAGCUAAAUACCGGCGAGAGACCGAUAGCGAACAAGUACAGUGAUGGAAAGAUGAAAAGCACUUUGAAAAGAGAGUGAAACAGUACGUGAAAUUGUUGAAAGGGAAGGGCUUGCAAGCAGACACGGCCUUCGUGCCGGGCCAGCAUCGGUUGCUAGGGGUGGAUAAGGAACAAGGAAUGUAGCUCCUCGGAGUAUUAUAGCCUUGCGCGAUACACCCACUGGCGACCGAGGCCUGCGGUAUUCUUUACCUAGGAUGCUGGCGUAAUGGUUGCAAGCCGCC